UGCACGGGCUUGGCUCAACCCGC
rnacentral:siRNA from 1 species